rnacentral:rRNA from 1 species
UACGUAGGGGCCUAGCGUUGUCCGGAUUUAUUGGGCGUAAAGAGCUCGUAGGCGGUUCGGUAAGUCAGGUGUGAAAUCUCCACGCUCAACGUGGAGGCGCCACCUGAAACUGCCGUGACUCGAGUCCGGUAGGGGAGUGUGGAAUUCCCGGUGUAGCGGUGAAAUGCGCAGAUAUCGGGAGGAACACCAGUGGCGAAGGCGGCAUUCUGGACUGUAACUGACACUGAGGAACGAAAGCCAGGGGAGCAAACGGG